rnacentral:tRNA from 1 species
GAAUCCCUGGCGCAGUGGUAGCGCGUGUGAUUCCAGUCCACAAGGUCAUCCGUUCAAUCCGGGUGGGAUUCA